AACGAACGCUGGCGGCAGGCUUAACACAUGCAAGUCGAACGCUCGUAGCAAUACGGGAGUGGCAGACGGGUGAGUAACGCGUGGGAACAUACCCUUUGGUUUGGAAUAACUGAGAGAAAUUUCAGCUAAUACCGGAUGUGCCCUUCGGGGGAAAGAUUUAUCGCCAAAGGAUUGGCCCGCGUCUGAUUAGGUAGUUGGUGAGGUAACGUCUCACCAAGCCGACGAUCAGUAGCGGGUCUGAGAGGAGGAUCAGCCACACUGGGACUGAGACACGGCCCAGACUCCUACGGGAGGCAGCAGGGAGGAAUAUUGGACAAUGGGGGCAACCCUGAUCCCGCCAUGCCGCGUGAGUGAUGAAGGCCUUAGGGUUGUAAAGCUCUUUCGCUAGGGAAGAUAAUGACGGUACCUAGAGAAGAAGCCCCGGCUAACUUCGUGCCAGCAGCCGCCGUAAGAC
rnacentral:rRNA from 1 species